rnacentral:rRNA from 1 species
GAUGAACGCUGGCGGCGUGCCUAAUACAUGCAAGUCGAGCGAACGGACGAUAAGCUUGCUUCUCUGAUGUUAGCGGCGGACGGGUGAGUAACACGUGGAUAACCUACCUAUAAGACUGGUAUAACUUCGGGAAACCGGAUCUAAUACCGGAUAAUAUUUUGAACCGCAUGGUUCAAAAGUGAAAGACGGUCUUGCUGUCACUUAUAGAUGGAUCCGCGCUGCAUUAGCUAGUUGGUAAGGUAACGGCUUACCAAGGCAACGAUGCAUAGCCGACCUGAGAGGGUGAUCGGCCACACUGGAACUGGGACAAGGUCCAGACUCCUACGGGAGGCAGCAGUAGGGAAUCUUCCGCAAUGGGCGAAAGCCUGACGGAGCAACGCCGCGUGAGUGAUGAAGGUCUUCGGAUCGUAAAAAUCUGUUAUUAGGGAAGAACAUAUGUGUAAGUAACUGUGCACAUCUUGACGGUACCUAAUCAGAAAGCAACGGCUAACUACGUG